rnacentral:rRNA from 1 species
UACGGAGGAUGCAAGCGUUGUCCGGAUUUAUUGGGUUUAAAGGGUGCGUAGGCGGCUCUGUAAGUCAGCGUUGAAAUAUGGCAGCUUAACUGUCAGACUGGCAUUGAUACUGCAGGGCUUGAGUGAAGUCGAGGUUGGCGGAAUUGACGGUGUAGCGGUGAAAUGCAUAGAUAUCGUCAAGAACACCUAUUGCGAAGGCAGCUAACUAGACUUUAACUGACGCUGAGGCACGAAAGCGUGGGGAUCAAACAGG